UUUAAACACCAGUUCCUGUAAGAUCCCCAAAGUUAAGCAAUGUCGAGCCUAGUCAGUACCUAGAUGGACGAUCUCUUGGGAAUACCAGAUGCUGUAAG